rnacentral:rRNA from 1 species
UACAGAGGUCCCAAGCGUUGUUCGGAUUCACUGGGCGUAAAGGGUGCGUAGGUGGCUUGGUAAGUUUGAUGUGAAAUCUCCGGGCUUAACCCGGAAAUGGCAUUGAAUACUAUUGAGCUGGAGGUUUGGAGGGGGGACUGGAAUUCUCGGUGUAGCAGUGAAAUGCGUAGAUAUCGAGAGGAACACCAGUGGCGAAGGCGA